UGUAAUGUACACAGUAUACUUCAUUCUCACACCAUUCCGACGUUUCAAAUAUGUGAUAACCGCUUCAAAGAGGCUAAAAAGCUAGCUAGAUAGCUUACUAAGUCGCGGACAGCCACGUUGCAGUUUUUGAGGGGCGGAAGAAUUCCCUCAGCUGCUCUAGCCAGCUAGUAACGACAGGGGCAAGGAAGCUAGCCAACAACUAGCCAGUUAAUAACAGGAGAAAGAGCUUGGCUAAUUAAUUUAUAGCUACUUGCCAGACAAUUAUUACCCAGCCCCCCCUAGUCAAUCUUACCUUGCGAACAUUUCAGACAAAUUUGCUAGCUAGCUAACCGUACUUUGUCUUUGUUGACGGUAAAGGAAAUCAUAGGCUUAGGUCUAACGUUACAAUAAUCAGCAGCUACCAAGCAAUAUAAAUAGACCAUAAUUUUAUGAUAGGCUGCAUUAGACCAGUCACUGACGGAUCGUCUAAAUUUAAUUCCCUAAUAUAUAUAUCAACUUUCAGAUAGUGGUUUUCUUACGAACCCAACGUUAGGUAGCCACCAUACCUAGCUAAGAUUAAAUUCUGAACAAUCGCACGGGGAGAGAGGCUAUCAGUAAUUAGCUAGCUACAAAGUUAAUAUCAAAGCUAUCCUGUAACUAAUUCAAUUCAUAGAUGUAACUAACUGUUACGAUGUAUCCCGCUAUCUAGUUAGGUACAGUAAUAAUGACCCCACAAGAACUAAUUCGUCUAUAAAAACUAGACAAAGAACAUCACCGCGUUCUCACAAAGCAAGUGUGGUUCAGUCAAGACUAGCUAAAAGGUAACGCGGAGGUUCGAUCACGAGGCUAAAUUGCUAAAGAUGUCCGUAGCUAAGAAGUGUGUGCAGAAUGGACAGUGAGGUAAAGGCUGCAGCAGCGGAGGAUCGGGAUUCUCUGCUCGUCCUGCGGCUGAUGAAUGAACUGCGGAGAGGCUGAUGCCGCAUGAAUAUGAAAGCCUUGCAGCUCCGCAGGAGUGCCAGCGCAGGCAGACCGUGUGAGAGCCCAUGCGCCUGCAGAAUGCAGUGCAAGCGCUGCCUCAUUACCACUGGGGGAGGAGUGCAAUCAGCAUGCGACAGAGCGAGACAGGAGAGGAGGCACUGUCGGAUGGAUGUGCUGCCGAAGAGACGGACUAAGGUGUGCCCUUGCUAUAUUCUGCUAGGAAUGAAUUUCAAAAUCAGAGCCGGAUUUACAUGCUAAAGACUCCAGGUUUUUAAUAAGUUUUUUUUUUUAAUGUCUUUUUGAAUUAUGCCAGUAAUUUGCUCUUGAAUUUUGCUACCCACAAUUAAUCUCAUUUUAAAAUUUUGUACUCAUUUGGCAUCAAGAUGAAAUUUUUAUCAGCACAAGGCUCCUGCUCCACUAAACUAUAUUGCAGAAUCUGGGUUGCAUAAUGUGGACUAUACCCUUGUCCAUGUUUUUAUGGAAGGGCCGAGAGGUGAAUGAAGUGACCACACAAAGGGAUAAAGUUAUGCAUAGGCAGGGCCUUUGAAAUGCUUGCUCCAUGCAUCUACUGGCAUGAGGGAAUUUGAGUCUUCCUGCUGACAUGGAAAGACCUAUUGCAGUUGCACGGCCUAUUGUUUGCACUGCUAGUCAGUAACCGGCAGGAAUGCCUGAUGUCAUUUGGAAAGAGGGUGCCUGGGUCUGUGCCACUAGACGUCAGACAAGGUAUCAGGUUGCGAGGUCACUUUGGAGGUGAUGCCAACUGCAUGUGCGUCAUCUUUAAUAAUUAAACUAACAUUUGUGGCAACGAAAAUGUAGUUUAGGUGGACCUGUGCUUUAAUAUUGCAGUGGGAACAAUUCUGUUUAUUACUUGUAUUGCAGGUCAUAAGGCCAAGCUUGAUAAAGGUUAGAUCAUGUCUGAUAACGCCAUGCAGGUUGCACAACUAGAGACAGUGUCAGGUACAGGUCAUUAGCAUUAUACGCAAGUAUCAGUUUUAUGCUCACUGUUGGACAAUAGUGUAAUGCAUAUGAACUUUCAGAAGACUGUGUCAACCAACCAAACACCAGGAAAGCAUGGGAGUUGUUCUCCUAUUCUGAAUAUGCCUCAUUGAUUUGUUUUGAUUGUGCCUGCUAUAUCUGUGCCAUUUACUCCAAAUCUUCUAGAUUUUUUCACCUUACUUAAAGUAGAUUUCAGAUUCAAGAAUAACUGUAUACAAACGUAUUCAUAAUUUACAAUUAAAGGGUUAGUUUUACAUCUUUGAAAUAAUAUGAACAUAAAGAAUUAUGAAUUUAUGAAACUGGAAUGAUGAAACAUACAUUUAUAAUAAAUAAUAAGUGAUAUGCAUGUUCUAAAGGGUACAAUAAUAGAAAAAUAAUUAUUAAAAAAGUUUUCAUUUGAUGUA